CUCCCCACCCGCUCGCUGCCCGGGCCGGCCUGCGCUGCCCUCGCCCUCCGCGCGGCAGCCGCCCCCUCCCCGCGCCGCGGCCGCCGCCCGCGUGGACGCCCCGAGCGCCCCCCGACGGACGCCACCGGCCCGCUGGCAGGCCAGAGAGCGGGCGGCCGCCGCGCCCGGCCGGCAGCGCGGGGGUUAAGCGGCCCAAGUAAACGUAGCGCGGCGAUCGGCGCCGGAGAUUCGCGAGCCGAGCGCCCCGCGCGGCCGCCCGCCGGCCCCCCGCCAGCCUGCAGCGGCCCGCGGCCCGACCGCGGAGCGGCGCCCGAGCCAGGCUCUCGGCAGGUGAGCGCCCCGCGGCCCCGGGGAGGCUCGGGCGUGCGGAGUCCGGGGCCUGGUGGGGGAGGGGGCGGCCGCGGGCUGCCGGGAGGGACCCUCUGCCUGGGACGUCAGGGGCCGCGGCUCCCCCCCGGCCGGAGAGCGGCUCGCCUGGGGAGGAGCGGCGCGCGGACCCCGCGGCGGGGGCGGGGGCGGGACGGGACGGGACGGGCGCACGCGACCUGCGGGGGCACGAGUGGGAGGGAGACCCGCGGUAGCCCCAGCAGCCCCACCAGGGAGAGGGGUGCCUCCCCAGGGAGGAAGACCGGUGGGACCGGUGGCCUUCGCGGGGUCUGGGGUCUGGGGUCUGGGGUCCGGGGUCCAGGGCAGGACGUGUCCCUCUUGGACGGAAGGGAAGCGGGAAGGUGUUUGGCUCCAUCGCAGGGGUCCUUACCUGGCCUCGCGCUCGCAGGGAGCCUCCGAAGAGGCGGGGGAAGCUGGUGUCCGUCCCUUAGGACUUGGACCCGUGGGUUUCAAGCGAGGGACCAUUUGCCCCGUUCUCGGGGCGAGAGGAGGACGACCGGACGUGGGUGCGGGCGAGCGGGUGGGCCGGGGCGCCCCCAGAGCGGGGUCUCGGGGUCUCCCGUAGAGGAGGUGCCCCAGCGAGGCACAGCGGGGCUGCCAGGACCCCCUCGGAGCGGCUGGCUUCUCCCGGUGCACACCUGGCCGGGGAGGAGCCGGGUCGAGGUGGCGCCGCCCUGUCGCGGUCACGCUGCCUGCCCUGGGGGCUCACUUUCCAUUUUCCCCCCUCUUCCGGGAUGA
rnacentral:lncRNA from 1 species